rnacentral:rRNA from 1 species
CAGCAGCCGCGGUAAUACGUAGGGUGCAAGCGUUAAUCGGAAUUACUGGGCGUAAAGCGUGCGCAGGCGGUUUAAUAAGUCUGAUGUGAAAGCCCACGGCUCAACCGUGGAGGGUCAUUGGAAACUGUUAAACUUGAGUGAAGGGGAGAGUGGAAUUCCAUGUGUAGCGGUGAAAUGCGUAGAUAUAUAGAGGAACACCGGUGGCGAAAGCGGCUCUCUGGUCUGUAACUGACGCUGAGGCUCGAAAGCGUGGGGAGCAAACAGGAUUAGAUACCCCAGUAGUCCCUGUCUCUUAUACACA